GUUCCCCUCUCCCACAUGAAAUCAGUCCCUAGCCAUGCCACCCCACGGGGUGCAGGGUGCUCCCCUGGGCACUCGGUGGGAGGGGGUGUGGGAGAGGCAGCGCUGGUGGGCCAGGUCACCCUGGGAACUGCGGGGUCCAGCAGAGUUUAAAGUCUGUGACUCAGGAGAUGCUGAUUUUGCUUUACAGCUUUCUGUAACUCCAGUCAUCUCUGUCCCAAACCGGAGAGGACCUCAUUUCCUGCUCAGUGCUGUGCCAGCCACAAGGUCUUUUCAUAAGGCUGCCAGGGGUGCCUGGCUGCGGGAAGGACAGUCAGUGUUUGUCACCAGGGAAUGAGCUGGCAUCAUAGCUCUAAUCUGAGUCAACAACCUGGCUAGCCCUGAGCAUGACUUCAUAAAUCAUGGUAUCUAAUUGAAAGGCACAUGCUUGUAUAUACAGUGUUGUUCAAAAAGAAAGAAAAAAAAAAUAGAAUUUAACAAAUACUUUUUUCUUUCCACUAGCCUAAUGAUCAGUCACCUGAUUGUUUCAAUUUACAUUAUUUCAUGCAGAGAAAAAAAGCAAAAGUAUAAAAACAUCUUGUAUAGCCAUAACAAAAACACAAAUGAAAAAAUUCAUCUCCUAAUGAGAGGCUUAGCCUUUUUCUAACACAUCCUUAAUAAUAGGGGAAACAAUCUUUAAGUGUUUUUAAUUUAAAUUGUUUUCAUGUUUAAUUCACUAUUGCUAAAUAAUAUUAUUAAGUGUCUAUGUAUCCAUUUAGCGUUGAGGCAUAUGAUAUUUCAAAGCAAUUGAACCAGUUUUGAAAGGAGAAAGAGUCCUGUACCGUGCCUGCAUUCACUGUUUUUUUUAAUGUUAGUUAACACACGUAUGCUGGACUGCCUUUUUUUCAUCCUUCCAGCAGAAAUGAAAAGUAAGUCUGGAACAAAAGAUCAGUUAUGUGCUUUUUGCUUCCCACACCCAAACCUCCUGCUUUAUUUUUGUAUCCAUAGGGUAUGUGUGAUCUCCUCCCAUGAGAGGCAACUCAGCAGCUCGGUCCCCUCUGCCAUCUCAGCACUGCCAGUGGAGAAGCCCAGGAGGAGCAGAGCAGUGCCUGAGCAGCAAUUUGAAUAUCCAUAUUUAACUCUUCAAACAACAGAAGACACUUCAGAACCAUGUGUUCUCAUAAUCCUGGCAAGAUGCUACAAACCCCACGUGACAAAGAUCACAGGGAAAUACUUGAAGAAACCUCUGCCAUUAGCUGUGCUUGUUCUGCCUGAAGGGGCUAUAUUCCAACUGCUGCUUGGCAGAGGAGACAAUUCAAGAGGAAAAAAGCUAUAAUAUGAAACAGCAAAUUGUGAGCAUCUGUGCACACAGCCCUGUGUGUCCUGGUACCACUGCUGG
ensembl:lncRNA